GUUAUUUUGCACAGGACUCCGCGCAUAGACUUCAAGACUUUCCUCGAAAUUAUUGGGGUCUGCCAGUAUUUUUUUCUUGGGAGAAGUGAAAGAAGGAAGGUUCAGUCCCUACAACAAAAGCUAACAAGCAGAAAAUUCUUCCAGGAACGGAUCACAAGUGAGCACAGCUCUGUCCUGUAUUCUAAGCUAGUAAUGGAGGUACAGUACGGGAGCUGAAGAGGUCUAGCAGACGUGCUCCAGUCAUCAACUGCAAACAUUUACCUUUGAAGCAACUGGAUGAGCCAGAUUGGUUAUGGUUUGCAUCCAUGUUCGACUUGAUAAAGGGGCAUAAUUUGUGAAAAGCCUUCAGGCAAAAAUCGUACUGAUUAUUCAAAACUAAAUAUUUUAACAUUUCAUUGAGUUAGCUAAUGAAUAAGAAAAACAUCGAAGGCUUCCUGCAGCUCAGAAAGAAUUCUAGUGGCGUGGAAAGC
ensembl:lncRNA